rnacentral:lncRNA from 1 species
AAGGAUUCUAUAGAAAAUUUUCUGCUUGUUUGUAAGCCGGUGCUGGAAAAUUUAAUUUUAGGCUCCUAUUCAUCUUGAUUCCUUUUUGUGGGGAAAAUUUUGCAGCAAGUAAAUGAGUUCUUUGCUCAUUAUCCUUUCUGUUUUUCCUCGAUCUUGUUGAGAACCUAUAGCAAUGAUGUCAAUCCUAGAUUUAUAGUUGUGGUAUUGGAGUUGCGGGUAUCAAAUAAAUAUAGCUAUAGUAAUCUUUUUGACUCUGUUAUCUUGGUAUGAUAACAAUCCAAGCUUUCCGGUAGCAGAAACCUAAAAUUUCUUGAAGCAUCCGAGGAAGAGAGGCCCAAAGGAUCACAAGCGUCCCAGGAGAAACCAGCGAAAAAACGCAUUGCUCGGGCAACAUACCAUUUUGUUUUAUACUUUUCUUUAAUUCAUUUAUUCUUUGCACCGAAUUUGACCACAAAACACUGAAUAUACUCUUAGGCCAUGUUUGGUAUACUGGAAUGGAAUGGGAUCACCAUUCCAUUUUUUGAUUUCGAUUCCUCUGUUUGGUAGAACUUC